UACCAGCACCCCGAGUGGUCGGGACGAUUAUUGGGCCUAAAGCAUCUGUAGCCGGUUCUGCAAGUCUUCCGUUAAAUCCAUCUGCUUAACAGAUGGGCUGCAGAGGAUACUAUAGAGCUAGGAGGCGGGAGAGGCAAGCGGUACUUAGUGGGUAGGGGUAAAAUCCGUUGAUCCACUGAAGACCACCAGUGGCGAAGGCGGCUUGCCAGAACGCACUCGACGGUGAGGGAUGAAAGCUGGGGGAGCAAACCGG
rnacentral:rRNA from 1 species